rnacentral:rRNA from 1 species
CCUACGGGUGGCAGCAGUGGGGGAUAUUGCACAAUGGGGGAAACCCUGAUGCAGCGACGCCGCGUGGGUGAAGAAGUAAUUCGUUAUGUAAAGCUCUAUCAGCAGGGAAGAAAAUGACGGUACCUGAGGAAGAAGCCCCGGCUAACUACGUGCCAGCAGCCGCGGUAAUACGUAGGGGGCAAGCGUUAUCCGGAUUUACUGGGUGUAAAGGGGGCGUAGACGGCAGUGCAAGGCUGGAGUGAAAGCCGGGGGCGCAACCCCCGGACUGCUCUUGAAACUGUACGGCUUGAGUGCAGGAGAGGCAAGUGGAAUUCCUGGUGUAGCGGUGAAAUGCGUAGAUAUUAGGAGGAACACCAGUGGCGAAGGCGGCCUACUGGACUGCAACUGACGUUGAGGCCCGAAAGCGUGGGGAGCAAACAGGAUUAGAUACCCCUGUAGUC